rnacentral:rRNA from 1 species
UACAGAGGUCUCAAGCGUUGUUCGGAUUCAUUGGGCGUAAAGGGUGCGUAGGUGGCGCCGUAAGUCAGGUGUGAAAUUUCGGAGCUUAACUCCGAAACUGCAUUUGAUACUGCGGUGCUUGAGGACUGGAGAGGAGACUGGAAUUUACGGUGUAGCAGUGAAAUGCGUAGAGAUCGUAAGGAAGACCAGUGGCGAAGGCGGGUCUCUGGACAGUUCCUGACACUGAUGCACGAAGGCCAGGGGAGCAAACGGG